rnacentral:misc_RNA from 1 species
GGACGCCAAACUUCCUAAUGCUGCAGAUAUCGAUGAGUUAAGUGAUAUUACCUCAGUGGAGGAAGAGCAGCACCAUAAAGAAUUGAAAGAACAAAAAUCUUCAAAAAAGCGAAAAAACAAAUCAAGACAUUCUGCUAGUAAGAAAGUGAAGGGGGGUGACUAGCACGUUUGAUGCAGUGGCGUAAGCUGUUGUAUUUUUCGAGUAGUUGAGCUAGUUCCUUCCAUAUGUUGAGCUUGAUGUUCCUGAUCUUCAUUCAAAUGGGUUGCACAUGCAAAGCGCGGGAGUAAUAUCCGUCAUCUAUC